rnacentral:rRNA from 1 species
GAUGAACGCUGGCGGCGUGCCUAAUACAUGCAAGUCGAGCGAACGGACGAGAAGCUUGCUUCUCUGAUGUUAGCGGCGGACGGGUGAGUAACACGUGGAUAACCUACUUAUAAGACUGGGAUAAUCUCGGGAAACCGGAGCUAAUACCGGAUAAUAUUUUGAACCGCAUGGUUCAAAAGUGAAAGACGGUCUUGCUGUAACUUAUAGAUGGAUCCGCGCUGCAUUAGCUAGUUGGUAAGGUAACGGCUUAUCAAGGCGACGAUGCAUAGCCGACCUGAGAGGGUGAUCGGCCACACUGGAGCUGAGACACGAUCCUGACUCCUACGGAAGGCAGCAGUAGGGAAUCUUGCGCGAUGGGCGAAAGCCUGACGGAGCGACGCCGCGUGAGUGAUGAAGGUCUUCGGAUCGUAAAACUCUGUUAUUAGUGAAAAACAUAUGUGUAAGUAACGGUGCGCAUCUUGACGGUACCUAAACAGAAAGCCCCGGCUAACUACAU